UUUCCAUAAUCUGAAAACUGAUAAAUUUAAGGUCUUGCAUGAAGUCCAGUACACCGCUUAAUUCUAUAAUAUUAAUCACAGACAAUACAGGGACACUGUUGCUAACUUUAUUCUUCUGAGUCCUUACUGUAAAAUGCUACAGCAGUGAAUGCAGAGAAAUAAAAUAGUUCUGUAAUAAUGAUGGAACUGAAGAAGGUCAUGUAAUGCAAACACUUGUGAAAUCAGUAGAAUUAUGUAUUUCUUGCCAAGGCUUGUCUUCUGAGACUGUGGUUGUUUACAGGAGCUCUAAUACAGAAGCCAUGAAGAAAGAUGAUAUGAGGAGGCUAAUUCUGCAAUCUUACUGAGGUGAAUCAGGACUGAGCAGUGAAUGCAUUCAUUUUCAUGAGGGAGAAGCAAAAGCAUAUAAAGUAGAGGAGAUGAAGUGAGCAUGUCAGAAGAGCACCUUUAUACUGUUCACUACUCAAUGGCAGGUUUGAUGAGAGCAGGCAAAAAUACUCAGAAUUCAAUAGAUGUCAAGCAAUGAAAAUGCCUCGUGCACUUUCAAUAUCACCAUGUUUUAUAGAUGAAUGAAAGAAACUGAACUUCAGUGUGCACAGGGCAUAAAAACCUUUGUUUUGCCAUUCUGCAGGUAUUCUACAAGUGAGGUUAAAAUGCUGGAGUUGCUACCUGUGAGGGGUACAGGGCAUAGUUUUGUCU